rnacentral:tRNA from 1 species
GCGGGAGUAACUCAGCGGCUAGAGUGCAACCUUGCCAAGGUUGAGGUCGAGGGUUCGAAUCCCUUCUCCCGCU